GACGAACGCUGGCGGCGUGCUUAAUACAUGCAAGUCGAACGGAAAGGCCCUGCUUCUGUGGGGUGCUCGAGUGGCGAACGGGUGAGUAACACGUGAGUAACCUGCCCUUGACUUUGGGAUAACUUCAGGAAACUGGGGCUAAUACCGGAUAGGAGCUCCUGCUGCAUGGUGGGGGUUGGAGAGUUUCGGCGGUUGGGGAUGGACUCGCGGCUUAUCAGCUUGUUGGUGGGGUAGUGGCUUACCAAGGCUUUGACGGGUAGCCGGCCUGAGAGGGUGACCGGCCACAUUGGGACUGAGAUACGGCCCAGACUCCUACGGGAGGCAGCAGUGGGGAAUAUUGCACAAUGGGCGGAAGCCUGAUGCAGCAACGCCGCGUGCGGGAUGACGGCCUUCGGGUUGUAAACCGCUUUCGCCUGUGACGAAGCGUGAGUGACGGUAAUGGGUAAAGAAGCACCGGCUAACUACGUG
rnacentral:rRNA from 1 species